UACGUAGGGGGGCAAGCGUUGUCCGGAUUUAUUGGGCGUAAAGAGCGUGUAGGCGGCCAGGUAGGUCUGGUGUGAAAACUCGAGGCUUAACCUCGAGAUGUCAUCGGAAACCAUCUGGCUAGAGUCCGGAAGAGGAGAGUGGAACUCCUGGUGUAGCGGUGAAAUGCGCAGAUAUCAGGAAGAACACCAAUGGCGAAAGCAGCUCUCUGGGACGGUACUGACGCUGAGACGCGAAAGCGUGGGGAGCGAACAGG
rnacentral:rRNA from 1 species